UUCCGGUUGAUCCUGCCGGAGGUCACUGCUAUUGGGGUCCGACUAAGCCAUGCGAGUCAAUAGUUCUUCGUGAACUAGGCGGACGGCUCAGUAACACGUGGGUAAUCUACCCUCAGGACAGGGAUAACCCCGGGAAACUGGGGAUAAUACCUGAUAGGUGGAGAGGUCAUGGAAUGAUCCUCCGCCCAAAGAUCCGGCGCCUGAGGAUGAGCCUGCGGCCGAUUAGGUUGUUGGCGGUGUAACGGACCACCAAGCCUGAGAUCGGUACGGGCACUGAGAGGUGGAGCCCGGAGAUGGGGGCUGAGAAACGGCCCCAGGCCUACGGGGCGCAGCANGCGCGAAAACUCCGCAAUACGCGAAAGCGUGACGGGGGGACCCCAAGUGUCAUGCCUUCGGGUAUGACUU
rnacentral:rRNA from 1 species